AAGGCUUUAGCUUAAUUAAAGUGUCUGAGUUGCAUUCAGGUGAUGUGGGAUAAAGUCCCGCAAGUCUUA
rnacentral:tRNA from 1 species